rnacentral:rRNA from 1 species
AGUGAACGCUGGCGGUAGGCCUAACACAUGCAAGUCGAACGGCAGCACAGUAAGAGCUUGCUCUUACGGGUGGCGAGUGGCGGACGGGUGAGGAAUACAUCGGAAUCUACUUUUUCGUGGGGGAUAACGUAGGGAAACUUACGCUAAUACCGCAUACGACCUACGGGUGAAAGCAGGGGAUCUUCGGACCUUGCGCGAUUGAAUGAGCCGAUGUCGGAUUAGCUAGUUGGCGGGGUAAAGGCCCACCAAGUCGACGAUCCGUAGCUGGUCUGAGAGGAGGAUCGGCCACACUGGAACUGAGACACGGUCCAGACUCCUACGGGAGGCAGCAGUGGGGAAUAUUGGACAAUGGGCGCAAGCCUGAUCCAGCCAUACCGCGUGGGUGAAGAAGGCCUUCGGGUUGUAAAGCCCUUUUGUUGGGAAAGAAAAGCAGCAGGUUAAUACCCCGCUGUUCUGACGGUACCCAAAGAAUAAGCACCGGCUAACUUCGUG